rnacentral:rRNA from 1 species
UACGAAGGGGGCUAGCGUUGCUCGGAAUGACUGGGCGUAAAGGGCUCGUAGGCGGUUUGUCGCGUCGGGAGUGAAAACUCAGGGCUUAACCCUGAGCCUGCUUCCGAUACGGGCAGACUAGAGGUAUGCAGGGGAGAACGGAAUUCCCGGUGUAGCGGUGAAAUGCGCAGAUAUCGGGAGGAACACCGGUGGCGAAGGCGGUUCUCUGGGCCUGUACUGACGCUGAGGAGCGAAAGCGUGGGGAGCGAACAGG